UUGCUGGGUGGAUUAGUGGCGAACGGGUGAGUAAACGUGAGUAACCUGCCCUUAACUCUGGGAUAAGCCUGGGAAACUGGGUCUAAUACCGGAUAGGAGCGUCCACCGCAUGGUGGGUGUUGGAAAGAUUUAUCGGUUUUGGAUGGACUCGCGGCCUAUCAGCUUGUUGGUGAGGUAAUGGCUCACCAAGGCGACGACGGGUAGCCGGCCUGAGAGGGUGACCGGCCACACUGGGACUGAGACACGGCCCAGACUCCUACGGGAGGCAGCAGUGGGGAAUAUUGCACAAUGGGCGCAAGCCUGAUGCAGCGACGCCGCGUGAGGGAUGACGGCCUUCGGGUUGUAAACCUCUUUCAGUAGGGAAGAAGCGAAAGUGACGGUACCUGCAGAAGAAGCACCGGCUAACUACGUGCCAGCAGCC
rnacentral:rRNA from 1 species